UACGUAUGGGGCAAGCGUUAUCCGGAUUUACUGGGUGUAAAGGGAGCGUAGGCGGCGGGGCAAGCCUGAUGUGAAAGCCCGGGGCUCAACCCCGGGACUGCAUUGGGAACUGCCCUGCUGGAGUGCCGGAGGGGCAGGCGGAAUUCCUAGUGUAGCGGUGAAAUGCGUAGAUAUUAGGAGGAACACCAGUGGCGAAGGCGGCCUGCUGGACGGUGACCGACGCUGAGGCUCGAAAGCGUGGGGAGCAAACAGG
rnacentral:rRNA from 1 species